rnacentral:rRNA from 1 species
GAUGAACGCUGGCGGCGUGCCUAAUACAUGCAAGUCGAGCGAAUGGAUUGAGAGCUUGCUCUUAUGAAGUUAGCGGCGGACGGGUGAGUAACACGUGGGUAACCUGCCCAUAAGACUGGGAUAACUCCGGGAAACCGGGGCUAAUACCGGAUAACAUUUUGAACCGCAUGGUUCGAAAUUGAAAGGCGGCUUCGGCUGUCACUUAUGGAUGGACCCGCGUCGCAUUAGCUAGUUGGUGAGGGAACGGCUCACCAAGGCAACGAUGCGUAGCCGACCUGAGAGGGUGAUCGGCCACACUGGGACUGAGACACGGCCCAGACUCCUACGGGAGGCAGCAGUAGGGAAUCUUCCGCAAUGGACGAAAGUCUGACGGAGCAACGCCGCGUGAGUGAUGAAGGCUUUCGGGUCGUAAAACUCUGUUGUUAGGGAAGAACAAGUGCUAGUUGAAUAAGCUGGCACCUUGACGGUACCUGCAGAAAAAGCACCGGCUAACUACGUGCCAGCAGCCGCCGUAA